AGUUUGAAAUAUUGUGGGAAUUAUCAAAAUGUGACACAGGGACACAGUGAGCAAAUGCUGUGAGGUAUGCCUGUGUUAGAAUGAUUGUAAAUACUACUUUGUACACCUCUCACCCAUUUCACUUAUCAACUGAAUAUAUUUCCCCUAACUUGGAGGGAAAGAAAAAAAAUGCCAAUCUCCAAACUAGGCUUCAAAUGUUUAUUUGUCCAGUGCCUUACAAUUUAUAAAAUACUUUCACAUAUAUCUCAUUUAAUGAUAAGUAAUGACUGCUUUUUACACACCAGAUAACAAAAUUAGAUGCUAUGGAAUUAAACUGCAUGAAAAAGUAUAAUUUAGGCCUAAAACUUUUAAUGUAGCACUCACUAGAUUAGUAUGGAGUAAUGGAAAGAACAUGGGACCUGUCAAGAGAAAACAGAAGACAAGUUCUAGUUCCCACUCUACUAUUUCUUUCAUUGAACUAUAGUGGAUUUACAAUGCUGUGUUAAUUUCUACUGUACAGCAAAGUGAUGCAGUCAUAUAUAUUUAUUCUCAUAUUCUGUUCCAUUAUGAUCUACCACAGGAUACUGAAUAGGUUACCCCCACCCUCUACUUUUUAACAUCUAGUGAUCUUGGGCAAGUGGCCUCUCUGAAACUUAAUUUGAUGUACCAGAAAAUGAUGAUGAUACCCCACAGAGUGUAGUGAGAGUCUAAUGACACAUGCAUGUGAAAGGCAUUCAUAAACUGAAAUUUAUUAAAAAAGCAAUAAAAGUA